GCGGGAAUGGCGGAAUUGGCAGACGCGCUAGAUUCAGGUUCUAGUGAGCAAUCGCUCAUGCAGGUUCAAGUCCUGUUUUCCGCACCA
rnacentral:tRNA from 1 species